GUAAAUAUAGUUUAGACAAAACAUCAAGCCGUGAACCUGAUAUCAGAGGCUUAACAACCUCUUAUUUACC